rnacentral:rRNA from 1 species
UACGGAGGAUGCGAGCGUUAUCCGGAUUUAUUGGGUUUAAAGGGUGCGUAGGCGGACUGUCAAGUCAGCGGUAAAAUUGAGAGGCUCAACCUCUUCCCGCCGUUGAAACUGGUGGUCUUGAGUGGAUGAGAAGUACGCGGAAUGCGUGGUGUAGCGGUGAAAUGCAUAGAUAUCACGCAGAACUCCGAUUGCGAUGGCAGCGUACCGGCAUCCAACUGACGCUGAGGCACGAAAGCGUGGGGAUCAAACAGG